GAUGAACGCUAGCGGCAGGCCUAAUACAUGCAAGUCGAACGGGAUUGAGAAGCUUGCUUUUCAUGAGAGUGGCGCACGGGUGCGUAACACGUAUGGAACCUACCUUUAACUGGGGGAUAGCCUUCCGAAAGGGAGAUUAAUACCGCAUAACAUCAUGAAACGGCAUCGUCUUAUUCUCAAACGUUUGGGUUUAAGAUGGGCAUGCGUCCGAGUAGCGUGUUGGUGAGGUCACGGCUCACCAAGGCGACGAUCGGUAGGGGAUCUGAGAGGACGACCCCCCACACUGGUACUGAGACACGGACCAGAGUCCUACGGGAGGCAGCAGUAAGGAAUAUUGGUCAAUGGACGCAAGUCUGAACCAGCCAUGCCGCGUGCAGGAAGACGGUCCUCUGGAUUGUAAACUGCUUUUGUUAGGGUAGAAACCCCUGGAUGCGUCCGGGGCUGACGGUACCUAAAGAAUAAGGAUCGGCUAACUCCGUGCCAGCAGCCGCGGUAACAC
rnacentral:rRNA from 1 species